GCAGGCGCCCGACCGGGUCGCGGCCGCGCGCUCCGCCCGCCGCUGCGUCCCCACUAUGGCGGCGCCCAUGCAGCCCACCGCGUCGUGGGCGCCCGCCGGGGUCCCCCGCGGCUGUCGCCGCCGCCUACGCCGCUGCCUCCGCCUUCCUGCCCCGCGUCGGGCCGGGCGCCACCUCCCCCCUGCCUCCCUCUCCGCUGUGGUCAUUUAGGAAAUCGUAAAUCAUGUGAAGAUGGGACUCUUGGUAUUUGUGCGCAAUCUGCUGCUAGCCCUCUGCCUCUUUCUGGUACUGGGAUUUUUGUAUUAUUCUGCGUGGAAGCUACACUUACUCCAGUGGGAGGAGGACUCCAAGUAUGAUCGGUUGGGCUUCCUCCUGAAUCUGGACUCUAAACUGCCUGCUGAAUUAGCCACCAAGUACGCAAACUUUUCAGAGGGAGCUUGCAAGCCUGGCUAUGCUUCAGCCUUGAUGACGGCCAUCUUCCCCCGGUUCUCCAAGCCAGCACCCAUGUUCCUGGAUGACUCCUUUCGCAAGUGGGCUAGAAUCCGGGAGUUCGUGCCGCCUUUUGGGAUCAAAGGUCAAGACAAUCUGAUCAAAGCCAUCUUGUCAGUCACCAAAGAGUACCGCCUGACCCCUGCCUUGGACAGCCUCCGCUGCCGCCGCUGCAUCAUCGUGGGCAAUGGAGGCGUUCUUGCCAACAAGUCUCUGGGGUCACGAAUUGACAACUAUGACAUUGUGGUGAGACUGAAUUCAGCACCAGUGAAAGGCUUUGAGAAGGACGUGGGCAGCAAAACGACACUGCGCAUCACCUACCCCGAGGGCGCCAUGCAGCGGCCUGAGCAGUACGAGCGCGAUUCUCUCUUUGUCCUCGCCGGCUUCAAGUGGCAGGACUUUAAGUGGUUGAAAUACAUCGUCUACAAGGAGAGAGUGCUCUUUCCCAAGCAAGGCCAAGUACAGGCAGUGUCAAGUAGGUAGCAAGCAAGAGAGAAGACAGAAGUCAGGUCCAGAAAUUCAGGGAGUAAGGAAAGAAAGAAGAAAAGGAAGGAAGCCAGCUAGAGUCGGAGAACUCACUAUACUCAGGCUACUCAGGAAGCAGACAGCAGGGCCUUGCUUUUCCCAGGAAGCUGAGGAGCUCUCCGCCUGGCCUGGCCUUGGCAGCAGGCAGAUUCAAGGUCCACUCUAGAACAGUCGAUGGAGAGAGCCAGGAGAGACAGCAGCAAGGGAAGUGGGAGCACAGGAGGGCAGACAGGAGAGAGGGCAGGCUCCUCCCAGCCCCUCAGCUGCUGCAGAUAGGGAGGCAGGGCAGCUGCACUGCUGGGUCUUCUCAUUGGCCCAGGAGCCCCCCUCAGGCCACAGCAGCACACCCACAGCAUCCCACAUCCUGUGCCUGCCCGACGACUCCCUUCGUAUCCUCCUCUGUUACACACUGGAGCCCCAUCACACGCUCUCUUCACCAUCAUUCCCCUUGUCCCUGUCACACACUCCAUUUCCCCAAACACAGAUGGGCUUCCUACACCACAGGCCCUGGGUUCCCCAUUAAACGCCUCAUGCUCCCGCCUCACUGUCCCUACUUGGGGUCCCUGCCACUCCCCUAGGCUCAUCCCUUGCUGUGUGCCUCGUUGAGGCCCGCUUUUGCUGUGUCCACAGAGUGCAUCGGAUGGCUUCUGGAAAUCUGUGGCCACUCGAGUGCCCAAGGAGCCCCCUGAGAUUCGAAUCCUCAACCCAUAUUUCAUCCAGGAGGCCGCCUUCACCCUCAUUGGCCUGCCCUUCAACAAUGGCCUCAUGGGCCGGGGGAACAUCCCUACCCUUGGCAGUGUGGCAGUGACCAUGGCACUACACGGCUGUGACGAGGUGGCAGUCGCAGGAUUUGGCUAUGACAUGAGCACACCCAACGCACCCCUGCACUACUAUGAGACCGUUCGCAUGGCAGCCAUCAAAGAGUCCUGGACACACAAUAUCCAGCGAGAGAAAGAGUUUCUGCGGAAGCUGGUGAAAGCUCGCGUCAUCACUGAUCUAAGCAGUGGCAUCUGAGUGGGCCCAGCACAUGGCCAUAGAGGCCCAGGCACCACCAGGAGCAGCAGCCAGCACCACCUACACAGGAGUCUUCAGACCCAGAGAAGGACGGUGCCAAGGGCCCCAGGGGCAGCAAGGCCUUGGUGAGGCAGCCAGAGCUGUGCCUGCUCAGCAGCCAGUCUCAGAGACCAGCACUCAGCCUCAUUCAGCAUGGGUCCUUGAUGCCAGAGGGCCAGCAGGCUCCUGGCUGUGCCCAGCAGGCCCAGCAUGCAGGCGGUGGGACACUGGGCAGCAAGGCUGCUGCCGGAGUCACUUCUCCAAUCAGUGUUUGGUGUAUUAUCAUUUUGUCAAUUUGGGUAGGGGGGAGGGUAGGGAUAAUUUAUUUUUAAAUAAGGUUGGAGAUGUCAAGUUGGGUUCACUUGCCAUGCAGGAAGAGGCCCACUAGAGGGCCCAUCAGGCAGUGUUACCUGUUAGCUCCCUGUGGGGCAGGAGUGCCAGGACCAGCCUGUACCUUGCUGUGGGGCUACAGGAUGGUGGGCAGGAUCUCAAGCCAGCCCCCUCCAGCUCAUGACACUGUUUGGCCUUUCUUGGGGAGAAGGUGGGGUAUUCCCACUCACCAGCCCUAGCUGUCCCAUAGGGAAACCCUGGAGCCAUCCCUUCGGAGCCAACAAGACCACCCCAGGGCUAUAGCAGAAAGAACUUUAAAGCUCAGGAGGGUGACGCCCAGCUCCGCCUGCUGGGAAGAGCUCCCCUCCACAGCUGCAGCUGAUCCAUAGGACUACCGCAGGCCUGGACUCACCAACUUGCCACAUGUUCUAGGUUUCAGCAACAAGACUGCCAGGUGGUUGGGUUCUGCCUUUAGCCUGGACCAAAGGGAAGUGAGGCCCAAGGACCUUACCCAAGCUGUGGCAGCCAUCCCAGGCCACCCCCAUGGAAGCAAUAAAGCUCUUCCCUGA